GACAGCAUGAUGAGAUAUGUUGUCGCCCCAGUCUGAUUAUUGAUGACUGACUGACAUGCUUCUGAUUUGUU
rfam:Gregarina niphandrodes unplaced genomic scaffold scaffold00042, whole genome shotgun sequence.